GUUAGACACUGAUCUGGGAGCAGCAGGUUAGACACUGACCUGGGAGCAGCAGGUUAGACACUGAUCUGGGAGCAGCAGGUUAGACACUGAUCUGGGAGCAGCAGGUUAGACACUGAUCUGGGAGCUGCAGGUUAGUGUUUGGUGCCAACACGGAGGUUAGACACUGAUCUGGGAGCAGCAGGUUAGUGUUUGGUGCCAGUGGUUAGUUUGCUGAAGUGUAGUGUAUAUCUGUUGCUCGGGGUCACUGUCCCCCUUUAACACCAAGCAUGAGGCCUAAAGGCAGCGAUGGACUCGGGUAACGAACUAAUGAAACAGAAGAGAACCCCGUUCUAUCUACGACGUGACCCGUUUUGUCCUGUCAUGGAAACUCAGUGGAUGAGGUCUUCGAGAUUUGAUCGAUUCUGUCUCCCCCAAAAAAAAAAACGUCAAAACGUCCUUGUCACUGUUGUGUGAAGUCUUAUGGUGUUGUAAGUGUUGAUGAUGAUGAUAUUGAUGAUGAUGAUGAUGAUAUUGAUGAUGAUGAUGAUGAUCAUGAUAUUGAUGAUGAUCAUGAUAUUGAUGAUGAUGAUAUUGAUGAUGAUGAUGAUGAUAUUGAUGAUGAUGAUGAUGAUC
ensembl:lncRNA